CAGGGAACGCCUCAGAAUUGACUGACCUCUUCCAAGUCAUACAAGGAGUUUGUGGAUGUUUCUGGUCAUUUUGUCCUGUUCUGCUAAGCCCAAGUGCCCUGAGUGCUGCGCACUGGUGUUGGGAUAGGGAGAGCCACAGCACCACUUUUCAAAGACGGCACUCGACUGGGCAGUGAAGCACAGCAAUCUUGAGAUGGCAGAGAUGGUCGCCAAAGCAGGCGUCGAUGUCAAUGCU